GGGGAGAGGGAAGGACCGCACGGAGCACCAACCCCUGCUCGGCCCCGUACCAGGAAGCGCUGGGGGGCAGAGGAGCGGAGUUGAGGCAGAAGCCAGUCAGGAUGGUGGUGCCUUCGCUGAAGCUUCAGGACCUCAUCGAAGAGAUUCGCGGGGCCAAGACUCAGGCCCAGGAGCGGGAGGUGAUCCAAAAGGAGUGUGCCCACAUCCGGGCCUCCUUCCGCGACGGGGACCCAGUGCACAGGCACCGGCAGCUGGCCAAACUGCUCUACGUCCACAUGUUGGGCUACCCCGCCCACUUUGGACAGAUGGAGUGCCUGAAACUGAUCGCCUCCUCCAGAUUCACAGACAAGAGGGUGGGCUACCUGGGGGCCAUGCUUCUAUUGGAUGAGAGGCACGAUGCCCACCUGCUCAUUACCAACAGCAUCAAGAAUGACCUGAGCCAGGGGAUUCAGCCAGUACAAGGCCUGGCCUUGUGCACUUUGAGCACCAUGGGCUCUGCUGAGAUGUGCCGAGACCUGGCCCCAGAGGUGGAGAAACUGCUCCUGCAGCCCAGUCCCUACGUGCGCAAGAAGGCUAUUCUGACUGCAGUGCACAUGAUCCGGAAGGUCCCUGAACUCUCCAGUGUCUUCCUCCCACCCUGUGCCCAACUGCUUCAUGAGCGUCACCAUGGUGGUACCCCAGCUGGUACACAUCCUCCGGACUCUGGUGACAAUGGGAUACUCCACAGAACACAGCAUAUCUGGAGUCAGCGACCCCUUCCUGCAGGUCCAGAUACUUCGUCUGCUUCGGAUCCUGGGCCGGAACCACGAGGAGAGCAGUGAGACCAUGAAUGACUUGCUGGCCCAGGUGGCCACUAACACGGACACCAGCCGAAAUGCCGGAAAUGCGGUC
rnacentral:sRNA from 1 species